rnacentral:rRNA from 1 species
GACGAACGCUGGCGGCGUGCUUAACACAUGCAAGUCGAACGGAAAGGCCCUGCUUUUGUGGGGUGCUCGAGUGGCGAACGGGUGAGUAACACGUGAGUAACCUGCCCUUGACUUUGGGAUAACUUCAGGAAACUGGGGCUAAUACCGUAUAGGAGAUCCUGCUGCAUGGUGGGGGUUGGAAAGUUUCGGCGGUUGGGGAUGGACUCGCGGCUUAUCAGCUUGUUGGUGGGGUAGUGGCUUACCAAGGCUUUGACGGGUAGCCGGCCUGAGAGGGUGACCGGCCACAUUGGGCCUGAGAUACGGCCCAGACUCCUACGGGAGGCAGCAGUGGGGAAUAUUGCACAGUGGGCGGACGCCUGAUGCAGCAACGCCGCGUGCGGGAUGACGGCCUUCGGGUUGUGAACAGCUUUCGCCUGUGACGAAGCGGGAGUGACGGUAACGGGUAAAGAAGCACCGGCUAACUACGUG